rnacentral:rRNA from 1 species
GACGAACGCUGGCGGCGUGCUUAACACAUGCAAGUCGAACGGAAAGGCCCUGCUUUUGUGGGGUGCUCGAGUGGCGAACGGGUGAGUAACACGUGAGUAACCUGCCCUUGACUUUGGGAUAACUUCAGGAAACUGGGGCUAAUACCGGAUAGGAGCUCCUGCUGCAUGGUGGGGGUUGGAAAGUUUCGGCGGUUGGGGAUGGACUCGCGGCUUAUCAGCUUGUUGGUGGGGUAGUGGCUUACCAAGGCUUUGACGGGUAGCCGGCCUGAGAGGGUGACCGGCAACAUUGGGACUGAGAUACGGCGCAGACUACUACGGGAGGCAGCAGUGGGGAAUAUUGCACAAUGGGCGGAAGCCUGAUGCAGCAACGCCGCGUGCGGGAUGACGGCCUUCGGGUUGUAAACCGCUUUCGCCUGUGACGAAGCGUGAGUGACGGUAAUGGGUAAAGAAGCACCGGCUAACUACGUG